UACGGAAGGUUCGGGCGUUAUCCGGAUUUAUUGGGUUUAAAGGGAGCGUAGGCCGUUUGGUAAGCGUGUUGUGAAAUGUAGGAGCUCAACUUCUAGAUUGCAGCGCGAACUGUCAGACUUGAGUGCGCACAACGUAGGCGGAAUUCAUGGUGUAGCGGUGAAAUGCUUAGAUAUCAUGAAGAACUCCGAUUGCGAAGGCAGCUUACGGGAGCGCAACUGACGCUGAAGCUCGAAGGUGCGGGUAUCGAACAGG
rnacentral:rRNA from 2 species